rnacentral:misc_RNA from 1 species
UCGAGCGCUUGACAAUCUAUUCUUUUUAAAGAAAGCGGUUGUCAGACAAUGCRUURAGAAAAAUUAAAGCGGAGUUUACUUUUGUAAAUGAGCAUUUGAUUUUUUGAAAAU